rnacentral:tRNA from 1 species
AGCAGCAUAGCUUAGUGGAAAGAACCCUGACUUGGGAGUCAGAGGUUGUGGGUUCUAAUUCCGCUUCUGCCA